UACGGAGGGGGCAAGCGUUAUUCGGAAUUAUUGGGCGUAAAGGGCGCGUAGGCGGCUAGAUGUGUCAAAGGUGAAAUCCCUCGGCUCAACUGAGGAACUGCCUUUGAAACUGUCUGGCUUGAGGCCGGGAGAGGGUAGCGGAAUUCCCAGUGUAGCGGUGAAAUGCGUAGAUAUUGGGAGGAACACCAGUGGCGAAGGCGGCUACCUGGACCGGCAUUGACGCUGAGGAGCGAAAGCUAGGGGAGCAAACGGG
rnacentral:rRNA from 1 species